CCUACGGGGCGCAGCAGUGAGGAAUAUUGGUCAAUGGCCGGAAGGCUGAACCAGCCAUGCCGCGUGAAGGUCAGUGCCCUAUGGGCGUUAAACUUCUUUUGUGCGGGAGCAAUAAUGGUCACGUGUGGCCAGACGAGAGUACCGUACGAAUAAGCAUCGGCUAACUCCGUGCCAGCAGCCGCGGUAAUACGGGGGAUGCAAGCGUUAUCCGGAUUUAUUGGGUUUAAAGGGUGCGUAGGCUGGGAUGUAAGUCAGCGGUGAAAUGCCCCCGCUCAACGGGGUGAAGUGCCAUUGAUACUGCCUGGCUGGAAUGCGGAUGCCGUGGGAGGAAUGUGUGGUGUAGCGGUGAAAUGCAUAGAUAUCACACAGAACACCGAUUGCGAAGGCAUCUCACGAAUCCGCGAUUGACGCUGAUGCACGAAAGCGUGGGUAUCAAACAGGAUUAGAUACCCUAGUAGUC
rnacentral:rRNA from 1 species